UUUUAUGAAAUUUUUUUUUAUCUUUCUUUAAAAUAAUAUGUUACUCAAGUGGAAGUGGUGAAGGAUUGUAUAGUAAAAUGUGGAUUGAUAUACUAAAAAUUGAUGAAAAAUUAAUAAAUUUAAAGGGAAAAGAUCAGGUUUGUGUUGGGAAAAACAAUCAGUACUUGAAUAUUGACCGACUUUUACGCAACCUUUUUAACCUUUUAGUUGAAAAAAGUAAACUACUCAUAUUUGUACACCAAUUUACUCA